AUGGAUCUACUACCGCCGGCGUCGGAGGCGCCGGCCGGUGGCGGCGCAGUUGGGGGGCGAGGGCUGCGACGCGGGGUCGGGUUCCGGUCGCUCAAGCUGGUGAACGUGUCCAUGGAAGAGGCCCUCCCAGCCGAGCCCGUCGGCGUCGCCUACGGCCGCCUCGCCAACGGACUCACCUACUACGUCCGCUCCAAUCCCAAGCCCCGCAUGCGCGCAGCCCUCUCCCUCGCCGUCAAGGUCGGGUCGGUGGUGGAGGAGGAGGACCAGCGCGGGGUGGCGCAUAUCGUGGAGCACCUCGCCUUCAGCGCAACGUCACGCUACACCAAUCACGACAUCGUUAGGUUCCUCGAGAGCAUUGGCGCAGAGUUUGGUGCCUGCCAGAACGCUCUCACUUCCUCUGACGAAACCAUCUAUGAGCUGCUCGUGCCUGUGGACAAGCCCGGACUGCUCUCCCAGGCAAUCUCCGUCCUCGCUGAGUUCAGCUCCGAGGUUCGGGUUUCAGCGGAGGAUCUGGAGAAAGAAAGGGGUGCUGUGCUGGAGGAAUACAGGGGCGGGCGCAACGCCACUGGGCGGAUGCAGGACUCCCACUGGACAUUGUUGUUUGAGGGUUCUAAGUAUGCAGAACGUUUGCCGAUAGGUACAGAGAAGGUGAUACGGACUGUUACACAUGAGACGGUUAGAAAUUUUUAUCAUAAGUGGUACAAUCUAAGCAAUAUGGCUGUCUUUGCAGUGGGAGACUUCCCAGAUACACAGGCUGUUGUUGAGUUAAUAAAGGAGCAUUUUGGCCAGAAAGCCUCAAUUUCCUGCCCUCCACCAGUUAUAACGGAGUUUCCAGUUCCAUCGCAUAUUGAACCUCGAUUUUCAUGCUUUGUGGAAUCCGAAGCUGCAGGGUCAGCUGUUGUUAUUAGCUGCAAGAUGCCUGCCGGUGAAAUUAAAACAGUCAAGGAUUAUAGGGACUCAUUGGCAGAAUCAAUUUUCCAUUGUGCUCUGAACCAGAGGCUCUUCAAACUAUCUCGUAGGAGGGAUCCUCCAUACUUCUCUUGCUCUUCAGCUGCGGAUGCUCUUGUCCGUCCGGUGAAGGCAUAUAUUAUGACAUCCAGUUGUCGCGAAAAAGGCACGGUUGAGGCUCUUGAGUCUAUGCUAGUUGAGGUUGCUAGGGCACGGCUCUAUGGGUUUUCUGAACGUGAGAUAUCCAUUGUGAGUGCUUUAAUGAUGUCAGAGAUCGAGUCUGCAUAUCUGGAGCGUGAUCAAAUGCAAUCAACCAGCUUACGUGAUGAGUAUCUGCAGCAUUUUCUUCGCGAGGAGCCUGUUGUCGGGAUUGAAUAUGAAGCACGGUUGCAGAAGACUCUUCUUCCAUACAUUUCUUCUGCUGAAGUGGUGAAGUUUGCGGAAAACUUUUCAACAACCAGUAGCUGUGUUAUCAAGGUAGUUGAGCCCCGGGCCCAUGCUUCUUUGGAGGAUCUGAAAGCUGUUGUAUUGAAAGUUAACACUCUAGAAGAAAAGAGGAGUAUUCCUCCCUGGGAGGAAGAGCAAAUCCCUGAAGAAAUUGUUAGCCGAAGUCCAGUGCCAGGAAUUAUUGUUGAUAAAGUGGAGCACCCAGGCAUAGGUGCCACUGAGAUGAUACUAUCUAAUGGGAUGCGAGUUUGCUACAAGUGUACUGACUUUCUUGAUGAUCAGGUUGUUUUUACUGGGUUUGCCUAUGGUGGUCUGUCCGAAUUAUCUGAAGAUGAAUAUACUUCAUGCACAAUGGGCUCGACAAUAGCAGGAGAAAUUGGUAUUUUUGGCUACAAACCUUCUGUCUUGAUGGACAUGCUUGCUGGCAAGAGAGCUGAAGUUGGUACAAAAGUUGGGGCGUACAUGAGAUCAUUUUCUGGCGAUUGUUCACCUUCAGAUCUUGAGACUGGUUUACAGCUUGUCUACCAACUAUUUACAACAAAGGUGGAGCCAAGGGAGGAAGAAGUAAAAAUAGUCAUGCAAAUGGCGGAGGAAGCUAUCUAUGCUCAGGAAAGAGAUCCUUACACUGCAUUUGCAAAUCGUUCACGGGAAAUAAAUUAUGGGAACUCCUACUUCUUUAAGCCAAUUAGAAUAAGUGAUUUGAAGAAAGUGAAUCCAAUCAGAGCAUGUGAAUAUUUCAACAGUUGCUUCAAGGAUCCAUCAGCUUUUACCGUUGUAGUAGUUGGAAACAUAGACCCAGACAUCUCAAUCCCACUGAUAUUGGAGUACCUGGGUGGGAUACCGAAGGUACAGGAUACAGUUCAGCCACUUAGUCGUGAGGAUCUAAAGGGAUUGCCCUUCAAGUUUCCGGAAACCAUAAUUAGAGAAGUUGUCCGCAGCCCUAUGGUUGAAGCUCAGUGCUUCGUCCAACUAGGGUUUCCAGUGGUUCUAAAGAGCACAAUGAUGACGGAGGAUAUUCACUAUGUUGGAUUUCUAAGUGGCAACAAACCUUCUAGAAGUGGAGAUGUUCGUGGAGACAUAAGUGUGAAUUUCUCAUGCGAUCCAGACAUGUCAUCUAGGCUCGUUGAUUUUGUUCUGGAAGAGAUAUCAUAUCUACAGACAGAAGGCCCUUCUGAAGAAGAUGUAUGGACCAUCCUAGAAAUUGAGCAAAGAGCCCAUGAAAACGGAUUGCAGGAAAAUUAUUACUGGUUGGAUCGAAUUCUGCGGAGCUAUCAAUCAAGGAUUUAUUCAGGAGAUGUUGGAUCCACCUUCAUGGUUCAAGAUGAGGGACGUGUAAAAGUUAGAGAAGCUUUGACACCACAGGCCAUGCAAAUGGCCUUGCGAAGGGUGAUAUCUUUCCCAUGUAAAAAACAGUACACGGUAGUAAUCCUUAUGCCUAAGUCAUCUCGUUGGAAUUCGUUGAUAUCGGUGGUUAGUUGGAGUUCUGGUGGAUUUAGCAGAGAUGCCAAGAUUUUGGCUGGCAUGGCUGGUGCACUGGUCUUAGCAGCCAGUUUGUGGAGAUACUCACGGGGUGCAUUGAGAUCGUAG
rnacentral:rRNA from 1 species